UACAGAGGUCCCGAGCGUUGUUCGGAUUCACUGGGCGUAAAGGGUGCGUAGGCGGUUCGCUAAGUUGGAUGUGAAAACUCUGGGCUUAACCCAGAGCCUGCAUCCAAUACUGACGAGCUAGAGUUCUGGAGGGGGUAGCGGAAUUCCUGGUGUAGCGGUGAAAUGCGUAGAUAUCAGGAGGAACACCGGUGGCGAAGGCGGCUACCUGGACAGCGUCUGACGCUGAGGCACGAAAGCUAGGGGAGCAAACAGG
rnacentral:rRNA from 1 species